CAGUGGAAGGAGACCUGUGGUGGAAGGCUUCCAGUGAGAUGGGAGUGGGGAGAUGAGGACAGGAAGAGGUGGGAAGGAAUGUCAGCCGAGACGAAAUAUGCGUGAAAGCGCCCGAAGGAAGCCUGACUGGAGAGCACAGAGCCACCAGACACAAGAGACCCUCUCCCUGCCAGGGUGGUAGGCUGAGCUUCGGAGUUGUGGUCCUUGCCUGCCAUGCAGCUCACUCUGAUCAACCAAGUAUGCGCCAAGCUUUUACUGCAGCCUGCGGAUGAGCAGUUAAUGAAGCAACAGCCCAAGUAAGAAAACAGGAGGAUAUGAAAAGCAAGCUGACAAGAUGCAGGAAGGAGCCAGAUCAAAACUAAAAUUAUCAUGGAAAGGAGGACAGCACUGGGGCACAUCGCCCUCCCAUGAGCCUAGCCAUGCAGAGAAAGAGACAGCAACGUGGACACAGCUACUUCCCACCACAGCAGCAACUCCUUCCUGCAAGGUGCUGAAGGAUCUUGGGUCUGAGGAGCAGUGUCGUGGGUAUGGCUUCCUGAUCCUGGAGUGCAGCCAACAUGGAUGAUCCUGGAAUCUGCUGGCUGGAUUCUGAAGCUGUUCCUUGUCAGCUCCUUUGUUACCCCAGUUCUUCAGUGAGCUUCUGGGGAGCAGACACUGAGAAACAAAGCUUCCGAUUUUGAAACAAGUUCCUAAGCACCCAAUUCUUCAUCUUGAAUUCCUUUUCUGAUUUAAAUUACUAUAGUUGCUUCUAUUGUCUGCAAGUUAGGUGUGCCUGAAAUUUUUGCUAGAGAGAAGGAGAGAAAGAAAGUGAACUACGCAGAGCUAUGUGCCAGAGGAAGAGAGAAAUCAAAGAAGAGGCCUGAGUCAUAGUAGGGAAGAGAAGGACACAGGAAAACCUGGAUGGAAAUGGAAAUGCAAGGAAGACGCCAGUGUGCAAAUCAUCAAAAGGUGUGUUCACACGAACCCUGAAAGAUGCAACUUAGGAAAAAAGAGAGUCAAGGUGGGGCUGGAAGUGGGAUCUGGGAGCCAGUGUGCACACCUGCAAUUCCAGCAUCAGGAGACUAGAAGAGGCAGAUCAAGAGCUCCAGGCCACCCUGGGAUGUAUAACAAGACCUGUUGUCCCCCCCUGCCCCCCCAAAAAAACAAGAAAAGAAAGAAAGGAAGAAAAAAUUUAAAAAGGAAGAAGAGAGGGAAGAAAAGAGGAAAAGAAGGGGGAGGAGGGAGGAAGUGAGGAGGAAGAAGAUGAGGAGUCUAUCCCUGCAUUGCUAGCCCACAGUCCGAGGCUGAAGAACGGCUCGAUAAUAAAACUGAAGACUGCUCUGCUGUUAGGGUGAUGGAAAGCUGGGUAGGGUUAGUGGGAGAUGGACGGAAUGCUGUUGAGAAUUGUGGGAAACGACGUGGCACAGACGGGAAAGCAUGACGUUCAGAAGAUCAAGAGCCAGCUCUACCUUCCAGGCUACUUUGGAUCCCAAAGACCAGAACGUCAGUGUGAAAUUCCUAAUAGACUGGAAGAUCCUGGAAAAGCUUCUCUGACCCUUCAACCAUGAUGCAUAAAGGUGGCUCGCCUAUUGAUCAGGUACAGGGUCAUGACCGCUAUGAAACUUAGCCCACAUUCUUUAUGAAUAAAACACUCUCAACAUAUAAAACAGCUGGUGAUGUGCUCAGUGGGUAGAGGGCUGAGCUGGCACCCCAGAGGACCUGGGUUUGACUGCCAGCCCUACCUACGGUGGGGUGGUGGAGGCGCACAGGCCUGUAAUCUCAAGCACUGCAGCCGGGCAAGGGGAAGGAUAAAGAGCUGGUAUCAGACUCCUCCACCUGACCGGAUCUCAGAAGCACAGAAAGUGCCGUCCACAGGCCGUGCGUGCGCUGGAAGGGCUUUGCAGCUUUUGUCGGUUGCUGUUGUUCAAAGCGACCAAUGAGAAGCUUUGGCAACAGAACAAGGGAGGUGAGAUUAUAAUGAUUCUAUUUAUAAGUCAGAAAAGUUCCUUGGGAUAUUUCUAGACUAUGGAGAGCUUGGCAGACACCCAACAUGAGAGCCAGGACCUUGAACUAUGUACAUGCAAUUAAUUAAAUAACCAGUGCGUCCACCUGGACUGGUGGAUGUGACUGAUUCGCUGUGAGCUGCCAAGUGAGUGCCCAUAGGCAGAGGAUAAUGACCCCAGACGAGGACAUUUAUAGCUCUUGGCGUGAGUUCUGACUCCUUGUUUCCUCCUCAACCUUCCUGAGGGUUUCAGGCUUUCAGAAAGCAACUCAUUUAUAGGAUUCAGUCAUCAGAAUGAGGCAUGCAAAAUUAUCCUCUUCUACUCUGCACAUCCUGGUCCAGAGUCAGCGGCUUCUCCCUGACAGCUCCUCGGGCACACGGACUUCCUGAGGAUGCCACAGAACUUCGCUCCCUCUGGACCCAGCUUAGCUCCCAGCCUGGGGCAAGACCCAUAAGAUUAGUCCAAAGGACCAAUUAGUCCAGGAACAUAGUCAGACUUCAGAAAGAGCCCGGAACUGAUGAAAGUGCUGUCACCAUGUCCCUGGCACCUAAUGAGGUACCUGCCCCUUGCCUGACGUUGUGCUUAAAUCCCAUGGUGUUUCUUGAUCCUACCUCUCAUCAUGCAUAAAAAUCAAUUCAACAUGGAUCAAAACCCUACGUGUAAGAUGCCAGCCCACGACACUAUUAGAAGAAGUAGGAUAAAUCCUUCAAGACAUUGGGCUAGGCAAAGACUUUUCCAUAAGACCCCAGAAGCACAGACAACAAAAGUAAAAAUAGACAAAUUAGAAGAUAAAAAAAAACUGAGACGAUUCUGCACUGCAAAUAAUAAUAAUCAUCAUCAUCAUCAUCAUCAUCAAGAUGAAGAGACAACCUGCAAACUCUCUCCAGACUACUCACUGAUAAGAGACUAAAAUCCAGAUUCCACAAGGAACUCAAAAUGUUCAGGAGAAAGGAGAAAAUGAAUCUCAUUUAGAGACGGGUAAAUAAUUUGAAUAGACACUUCUCCUAAGAAUACAUACAAAAGACAAGAGGUGUACGAAGAACGUACAACAUCCCUAACCAUCGAGAUCAGAACCACAGUGAGCUACCAUCUUACCCUGUUACUGUGUCGGCAAAAAUAACAAAUGUAGUGAGGAAAUGGUAACCCAUCCAUCCACACAUGCAUGGCUUGAGUACUGGGGGUUCAGUCCUCAGGGUGGGAGUGUACAGGGUGGUAAUUCCUUUAAGAGGUAAGACCUUGUAGGAGUGCCUUAGGCCAACUUUUGGUAUGUCCUCUGGAAAGAUUAAGGGGUUCACUCAAGGGUGAGUUUUUAGCCAGUCAAGAUGGCUCAACAGGUAAAGGUGUUUGCAACACAGCCUGGCAACCUGAGUUCAAGACCCCGAACCUGCAUAAAGGUGCAAAGAAAUAAUCAGCUCUACCAAGCUGUCCUCUGACUUCCACGUGUACUCUAUGGCACAGUACAUGCACACAGCAAGGAAAACAAUAAAGAUGCUGGAGAGGUGCCUCAGAGGUUAAAAGCACUGGCUGCUCUUCCAGAGAACCUGUGUUUAAUUCCGGCACCCACAUGGCAGCUCACAAUCAUCUGUAACUCCCAGGGGACACACUUUUUUCUGGUCUCAGCAGGGGCUACAUGCAUAGUGCACAGACAUAUAUGCAGGCAAAACACCCAUACAUACUAAAUGAAUGAAAAAAUGAAUGAAUGAAUGAAUGAAUGAAUACAUAAAUAAAUAAAUAAAUAAAAUUUUGGGAAACAGAAAA